rnacentral:rRNA from 1 species
CCUACGGGAGGCAGCAGUGGGGAAUAUUGCACAAUGGGGGAAACCCUGAUGCAGCGACGCCGCGUGAGUGAAGAAGUUAUUCGUUAUGUAAAGCCCUUUCUGCCGGGAAGAAAAUGCCGGUACCUGAGUAAGAAGCCCCGGUGAACUACGUGCCAGCAGCCGCGGUAAUACGGAGGGAGCAAGCGUUGUCCGGAAUUACUGGGCGUAAAGGGCGCGUAGGGGGGCGCUUAAGUCAGCCGUGAAAACUCCGGGCUCAAACUGGAGACUGCAGUUGAAACUGGGUGUCUUGAGGGCAGGAGAGGAAAGUGGAAUGCCUGGUGUAGCGGUGAAAUGCAUAGAUAUUAGGAAGAACACCAGUGGCGAAGGCGACAUGCUGGACUGUACCUGACGCUGAGGCACGAAAGCGUGGGUAGCGAACGGGAUUAGAUACCCUAGUAGUC